rnacentral:lncRNA from 1 species
AAUGUGAAACUAUUUAAAGUUUUUAAUACUGUUAUUGCAAAGAAUUCUGCAAAGAUCUCUCAAAUAAUUGAAUAGAGAACUGUACAUAGUUACACAUGCUAUGAACCAAUCACGAAUAUUUCAAUGUGAACUAUCUCAUUAUUGUCCCCAUGAAAACCUUUAUGCAUAUCUUGUGAAGGUAUCAUGUAAAAAGAAUAAUCCAUGUAGGAAGUAGUAGUUCCUAUUAAAUCCUAUAAGAAAAAUUCGAAAUGCAAAUCGGUUAACAUUUUUUAUUUCUAAUUGGCACAAUGAGCACCCAAUUGAACAUGAAGAUCAAUUUAUUUAUUAUAUAUAGAGAUAGACAAAAAUGAAAUGCACAAUAUAACAAAAUGAUUUUAUGACAAUCAAUCGACGCCAAAUUUGGUAAUUUUUUUAUUAUCCUUAUAGAACAUAUCCAUGCCUACAGUACAAAGAAAGUAUUGUUAAUGUAGGCAGUGAGAGAAGUUUUCGAUCAUUGGAAAAAAAAAUAUACGGAUUUUUAUCAAAUUCUUAUUAAACUCAACUCUCAGUACCUCACUUUUACAAAUCGAACGUCUCUUAUUCGAAUAGUCAAAGUUAGUAGGUCAAGUGAUAUGCAAUAUAUGUACAGUAUUUGACAAAGAACCACCUUUACAAGAUUUAAGGAUUGUUGUUCCAAAUAAAGAAUUUGGGUAAGAGAACAAAAAUUGUUGUGCUACUGCUCUAUUGAAGUAAUAGCUUUGGAAAAUAAGUUUUAAAGACGUGAAUGAGUUCCUAGUUGAAGCUAUUUACUGAAAUAGUUAUUACCCAACUGCAAAUGAACUCAUUUAACUUUUGCGAAUGAAAAUUAUUUUUAAAAAAUAUUACUUAAGUAGCACAAAAAAAGAAUGUUUUGUGCUGUCUUAUCUAAAUUUUUUCACCUGACGAGUAUUGAUCAAAUCUUGUAAAGUUAGCCCUUUGUGACCUCUUAUACAAAUUUUACAUACCACCUUACAGCCUAACUUCGACUAUUUUGACGAGAGACAUUUGAUUUGUAAAAGCAAGGUAUUCAGAGUUGAAUUUAAUAAGGAUGUGAUAUAAAAUUAGUUGGGUUUAUGAUAUCUUACCUGAUUAUGGUACACCAUUUCUAGUCCCAGGUACAGCAAGAUUAAUUAGCUUAUUGCAUAAGGCCACAGAGCAUCAAACCAUGAUUUGAAAGGAAAAUUAGUUGAAGGCAUGUAGAUAUAGAACAACAUGGAGUAUUCAUGCUUAAAUACUAUAGUAGGACUCCAUCUUUUGUGAUAUGAAAUAAAGCAUCUGAAGAUGGAUUGAUGGGAAGGAACUUAUUGAUCAUCUUUUGAGAUACUAUCGAUCAAGAAUGAACUGUAUAAUCGAUGAAGUAGAAUGAUGAACCUGCUUACUAUGUAUUGCUUUUCAAAUUCCUUGACAGAUUUAACUUAGAAAGUAUUUCGUCAAUAUAUGUUGGUGAGCUGAAGACAUUUAAAAAUGUGACAAGAAGCAAGUGAAUCAUAGUUGGUUUAAUUGUAGGGAUAAGUAUAAUGUGUUAGGGUAUCUUAUCUAAUCUAAAGGAUUGGCAGACAUUUAUUGGACGUAAAGAGUAUUUGAAGUUUGCACACGUAAUGAACUCAAAUAUAACAGUCUUCAAACGAGAAAUCUAAAAAAUAAAAAUUUACGAGACUAACCAAAUGCAAUAUAUGGGAGGUUCCUCAUCAUAAUGAGGAGUAUCUUCCACAAAGGAAAGCAUAAAAUGGUCUAUAACUAAAGCUCCAUCAAGUGAAAAAUAUUUACAUUGAAGCAUAUUAAACAUUGUAUUCAUUGAUCAGAACAAUUAGCCCAUGUUUGAGCCACAUUCUAGGAAAAAUGCAUCUUUCAUAUCAAAUCAAUGGAAAAUGUGUAGUUAAAAAAUAAGGAAAAGUUUUAGAUUUACGCGUAAUAUUAUUUUAUUGAAGAAUGUGUGGUUGAAAUGAUGUCAAAUCACCGUUAAAAAAUGUAUUUUUUCGAAAAUAAUGUGGAUCAAACAAGCCCUUAGUUAAAGAUCUUUAGUUCAACCUUGGAACAUGCUAAGCAUCACACGAACAUUAAAAAUAACAAUGCAGAAAUUUUUCUUACUAACCUUCAUUUUUGCUUCAGAUUCCAUCAUUACUUAGCUUAAAUGAGACAGAUAUAACAUCGGCUUCGCUCAGAUUUCCACAGGCCUAAAUAAAACUCUAAAGCAAAGACAUAAGUAUAUAUUAUCUGAAUCAACUGUCCUCAAAAGCAUGAAAAAAGACUACACUAAUAAAGAGUAUAAAUUGAUGGAUAGUACUCUUUAAAUUAUUAAAUAUUUAUGACAAUUGUGGUAUAAGUAGAGUCAGAGGGGAUGCUUAAUUUCAAAUUUAUUCAUUUUAUAUUUUUCAAACCAAAAUUAUAUAAAUUGGUGUUUUAAGAUGAGAUGUUAAAACCCGAGAUAAUUUCUUUGAUUAACAGUAGUUAUGACGCAUGAAAUUAGACAUGACCAGCUGAUGGAAGAAAGUAGUAUGCUAAUAGUUUUUAACAUGUAGAAUAUUGAUGUUACCUGGACUAACAGGAGCAGUCCAAGAAGACAAACGAGAACUAACCGAUAAUUUUCUACAUAAACUAAACCACCAACCAUAUGUACUCAUACAAUCAUCUCACAUGAAAUAAGCAGAAUGUUAAAAUAUUUCGAUUUAAUGGGAAAGAAUGCAUCAUAACAAAUAGUACAUGGCAUGCCAUAAGUGAAUAGUGGUUCAUAUAUCUUAAUAUAACUCAGUUUAAUUUUAAACGGCAUUUUGCGAUAACAUUUAAUCUCAAAUAAAAUAAAGAGUACAUAUUGGAAAGCAAAAGGUAAUUUAGUUCCACCCCCCACCCCCCCCCACCCCCAAAAAAAAGUACUCUAAAAUGAUAUCAUUGCUCAUCAAGGCGGAUUACUGGGAUACAAUAAUACGGGUCAGGAAUGAUUGUUUCUUUCUUAACUUUCCUUCAAAGCUGCAAAUAUCACAUUAGCAACUACUAAGUUGCAAAUAUUACUAGAUAGUUUUAAUUUGCCAACCUGUGUAGGAAUGACUAGAUGCCACAUCCGCAGCCAAACGCUACAUCGAAUGGAAAAAAGAAUUAUUGGCUCAAAUACACACAUUCCAUUCAUCGGCGAAGAAUAAAUCGGCCCUACCAUGGUUGCUUAUCAUUGAUGCACAAGCAGUAGGGAC